GAGAUGAGAAUGAACCUGUCUGGUUAAAAUAUGAAAUAUCGGGAUAUAUAGUAGUCAGAUUAACAGUACUGACAAAAAUGUGACUAUAUCAUUUUUAUUUUUUCCAAGCCAGUGGACAGAACAUUUGGGCUCCUCUGAAAGUAACACUGAGACAAGGACUUGGGCUGAGGGUGAAUAACUGACUGGUGGUCUGAUGAGCAAGUUAGUGAAUAAAGACAGUGAGGCUACAAGAAAAUAGUCAACAUCGAGGUGCAUUUAAAGGUGUAUGUGCCAUGCCUGCCGCCGCCAUAAGUUCCUUCCUUCCAUCUCACUGCCCCCCUCCAUACUGACCCAAGGUCUUCGUCUCUCGGCUUCUGGAAGACUUCCCUCUGGUUCACAGAGAGCUUGGUACCUGUGACUGUGAUCCGAGAUCCUCAGACUCUUCUUGACGCACCGUCUUCCAUCUUUGCAGGAAGUUGAAACGCCUCCAGGGAGUCCCUGCUGUACUGAAAUAUAAACAAUGAUGUGGAAAAAUGCCCAGUAUCAAUUACCCAGCCGAUGACCUACACGUAUUGGCAGUUCUAGAAAGUCGGUGUGAUUCUUCGCAGUGGAGUUCCCCCCACCCAUCAGCUGUGAAGCUCUUCACGGAAGCUUUGUCUCUGCUGCAUUCUCUCAGGAUGCCACACCCAGAGCUGAAUGACUAUGCCUGGGACAACGUGGGCAUCUGCUCUUGAGUUGAGACCAGACCCUACAGAUCAUCUGUCAACAUUGCUGAACCCAUUUAGAACCCUCAGCAAUAUAUAAAAAAUGACCACUUCUCCAUACGAAGCCUAAAUUUGAUAUUUUAAAGUUGUAUGUUUUUAUCAUUCUACUGUUUGCAGUAUGCUAUUCAUUGUAAAAACUUACAUUUGCAAGUCAGCACAUUUGUUAAUUAAUAGAUUAAUUAUAGAUCCAUUUUCUAUGUGGUGGUUUGUCUUUUCAAGUUGGCUAGCAAGAACUCAUUAUCUUGUAGUAUACAGAUUAUCAUGUUAGUUGCACGUAGUUCAUUUGUAUUUAACUUUAAUUGUGAUAUAUUUUUCAACUUUUAAUUUAGUUAAGUCUACCAAAUUUUAUAUAUAUGUAUAUGUGUGUGUGUAGAUCUAUAUAUGUUUUUAUUUUGUGUCAUUUAAGAAUAACUUCCCCAUAAAAAAUCAUGAACAUUCUUCUAUAUU